AUGGACGCGCCGAGCGCCACCGCCAAGCGCAAGCGCUCCUCCCCCGCCGCCGCCGCGCCGGCCCCCGUCAGCGUGGACGACGUAUCCGACGCAGAGGUCGAGGAGUUCUACGCCAUCCUGCGCCGCAUGCGCGACGCCUCGCGCCGGCUCGUCUCCGGUGGGGUCGCCGCGGCCACGGCCCGCGCCGCCCCGGCCCCGCGCGCGCCGGCCUGGUGCCCCAGCUUCUCCUGGGAGGACUUCGCGCCGCCCGCCCCGACACCGCCGCCUGCUCCUUCGCAGCAGGAGCAGCUGCUGCCCGCCGACGAGCGCGUGGCCGAGAACGCGUCCCCGCCGCGGCGGCCCGUCCCCCGCGGCCUGGACCUCAACGCCGAGCCGGAGCCGGAGGUGCAAGCCUAG
rnacentral:rRNA from 1 species